CCUACGGGUGACAGCAGUGAGGAAUAUUGGUCAAUGGACGAGAGUCUGAACCAGCCAAGUAGCGUGAAGGAUGACUGCCCUAUGGGUUGUAAACUUCUUUUAUAUGGGAAUAAAAUGUUCCACGUGUGGGAUUUUGUAUGUACCAUAUGAAUAAGGAUCGGCUAACUCCGUGCCAGCAGCCGCGGUAAUACGGAGUAUCCGAGCGUUAUCCGGAUUUAUUGGGUUUAAAGGGAGCGUAGGUGGAUUGUUAAGUCAGUUGUGAAAGUUUGCGGCUCAACCGUAAUAUUGCAGUUGAAACUGGCAGUCUUGAGUACAGUAGAGGUGGGCGGAAUUCGUGGUGUAGCGGUGAAAUGCUUAGAUAUCACGAAGAACUCCGAUUGCGAAGGCAGUUCACUGGACUGCAACUGACACUGAGGCUCGAAAGUGUGGGUAUCAAACAGGAUUAGAUACCCUAGUAGUC
rnacentral:rRNA from 1 species